AUGAACGCUGGCGGCGUGCCUAAUACAUGCCAGUCGCGCGAACAGACGAGGAGCUUGCUCCUCUGACGUUAGCGGCGGACGGGUGAGUAACACGUGGAUAACCUACCUAUAAGACUGGGAUAACUUCGGGAAACCGGAGCUAAUACCGGAUAAUAUAUUGAACCGCAUGGUUCAAUAGUGAAAGACGGUUUUGCUGUCACUUUUAGAUGGAUCCGCGCCGCAUUAGCUAGUUGGUAAGGUAACGGCUUACCAAGGCAACGAUGCGUAGCCGACCUGAGAGGGUGAUCGGCCACACUGGAACUGAGACACGGUCCAGACUCCUACGGGAGGCAGCAGUAGGGAAUCUUCCGCAAUGGGCGAAAGCCUGACGGAGCAACGCCGCGUGAGUGAUGAAGGUCUUCGGAUCGUAAAACUCUGUUAUUAGGGAAGAACAAAUGUGUAAGUAACUAUGCACGUCUUGACGGUACCUAAUCAGAAAGCCACGGCUAACUACGUG
rnacentral:rRNA from 1 species